rnacentral:lncRNA from 1 species
ACUCCUUCAGCGCGCUGCCUGCCUGCCCAGGGCCUUCCCGGAGAGCAGGUGACGGCGGCCUCCGGGCAUGGAGCUCGCGCUGACGAAAGGUUCUGGAAGCCGCCGUAAAAAGUAAUCAAGAAACGGGUGACAGGACUUUUCGAACAAGGUCUCACCAUGCUGCCCAAGCUGGUCUGAAAACUCUUGUCCUCAGGCAGUCCUCCCACCUCGGCCUCCCAAAGAUCUGAGAUUACAGGCAUGAGCCACCACACCUGGCCUUGGUUUUAAUUCCUGUCACAGUAUAUUAGUUUUCGCUGUUGUGUAUUGAUUGAUUGAGACAGGGUCUCGCUCUGUUGCCCAGGCUGGAGUGCAGGGGCAUGAUCCCAGCUCACUGCAACCUCCACCUCUUGGAUUCAAGUGAUUCUCCCGUCUCAGCCUCCCGAGUAACAGGAACCACAGGUGUGUGCCAGCACGCCUGGCUAAUUUUUUUUUUUUUUUUCUUGAGGUGGAGUUUCACUGUUGUUGCCCAGGUUGGAGUGCAGUGGCACAAUCUCAGCUCACUGCAACCUCUGCCUCCUGGGUUCAAGUGAUUCUCCUGCUUCAGCCUCACGAGUUGUUGGGAUUACAGGCGCCCGCCACCACGCCCAGGUAAUUUUUGUUUAGUAGAGACGGGGUUUCACCAUGUUGGCCUGGCUGGUCUCGAACUCCUGACCUCAGGUGAUCCACCCACCUCGGCCUCCCAAAGUUGUGGGAUUGCAGGCGUGAGCCACUGCGCCUGGCCUAAUUUUUCAAUUUUUUGGUGGAGAUAGGGUUUCACCAUGUUGGCCAGGCUGGAGUUUUGCCUGUUCUAGAAGCUUGUAUCAGUCAUACAACACCCCUUUGAGGAACCGUUUGAGGUGUGGCACGAUACAGCAAGUCAGCUGCCAAAGAGGGGCUUAGCCACAGGAAGUGCGUGCCCAGAACGCAUCUCCCGUGUCCCUCACAGCAGUUCUAUGAGGCUGGCUGCCCUGUUUGACAACUGAGGCCCGCAUCUUCCCCGGAAUCACCGACGUGUGGCUCUGAGCCCUGUCCCAGGGAUUUUCUCCAUCAGAGAAGAGGAGCACUUUGAGCUUUGAGAGGAGCAGCCCUCUGCAAGUGAAGUGGAAAAAAAGGAAGCAGGCGAGGAGGCCCAUCCAGACCCUCCCCCAAGACCCUUGCUGAAAUGGCUGGGAUGCGGCGUGCAGAAGCUCUCCUUUCCUUCACAGCCCCUGGCUUUCCAAGAGUCCCUGCCCACCCAGAUGCCCGCUGGCAGAUGCAGCCUCAUCUCAAGGACACUGCUUGCUGGAUAAAUCCCUCACCACCCUAGAGACAGCCCACGGUCCUGAGACAAGGAUGCGGGCCAGGCUUGUUGCACGUAAGCGCCUCCCGCAGAAACCAGUGAGGCCGGAGUUCCAGAGGAAAUGAUGUAGGGACAGAGGCAGAGGGCCUCCAGGAGGCACCAGCCCCAGAGUCUUCCCUAGAAUCAGACUUUAAGCACAAGCAGGGAGGGAAAGCACUUGAGCAGUGCCCGUCCCUGCAUACCUGGCCUCUGCUGGAACCCAUGCAGGGACAGGACACUUCUUUAUCAGCAAUCCUGUUCCUCUCCUGGGCAGCUUCAACCUGAACAUCCUCCUUCACCUUGAGCUAAAAUGGGUUUCUUGUCACCCUUGCCCAUCAAACCUGGCCUUGCCCUCAGGAACCACACAGGACAAGCCUAAUACUUCCUUCUUGUGGCAACACUUUAGCAAUUGAGACCUGGCUGUCAGGUCCUCCAAAUAAACAUUUGUGACUGUGAUGUUGACUUGCCGCUUCUGGGGACCUCUUCUCAUUUGAUCGGAGAAAGUUUUUCAGGGUUAAACCUACUUCUUUCCCCCAAGAAACUCUUCUUGUCAGGCUCACGCCUAUAAUCCUGGCACUUUGGGAGGCCAAGGCAGGAGGAUUGUUUGAGACCAGCCUGGGCAACGUAGGUAGACUAUGUUGC